rnacentral:rRNA from 1 species
AAAAAAAUUAAUGCUAAUCGAUCCUGUGUGCGGCGGCCGGACACAUCGCGAAGCAACCAAGAAAAUCCCCACCCGUGUGACUUUCUCUUCCUCCACGCCUGGGCCUCAUCCUUCUCCCUCCCUGCCGCCUUGGAGCUCCGGCGCCCUGCACUCCGUCUUGCCGGCCGGCGGCGGCUCUGGCAAGCGGCGCAAAGCCACCAGAUUCAUGGCCAAGUCCGGUGCCCGUAAGGACGCCGCGCAAGUCCGGCCAUCGGCCACCUCGCCGCCGCUGCAGCACUCCCCCGGCGCCACAGCAAGCUCGUUCGCCAGCCGCUCUCCACAGCUUCUCUUCUACCCCGGCGCCCCGACAAGAUCCUCGGCCAGCCCCUCGACACCACCACACCUGUACCCGCCUCUCAUGGAAUCCUCCUCAGCCAACCCUACAUGGAGGCCGAUGUAUACCUCUGCACCUGAAGGCCUGCUAAGUUUUGGACAAUUACCGCCCAUGAAUCCUUACAAUUUUCAACCUCAGCCAAUGCACCAUCAUGAACAAGGAUACCAAAAUAUGGAGAAUUUGCACUUUGUUGGUGCUUCCCCACAUGAUCCCUUUUCAACACCACCGCCACCACCGCACUCUAAUGUUUCAUCUCAGUCUGCUCCCACCAAAGUUGAUUCAAAGAAAAAGAAAAGGAAGGUCAAGAGUGUAGAUGCCGACGAAUCGGGAGCAAGGACCGCAUAUCGUCUGCCCUAUACACCCGAGGAACAUGAGAGACUGGCAGGUGCUUGGCUGGAGUGUUCACUCAAUCCCAUUGAUGGGAACGGAAAGAAGUCUGAGCAGUUUUGGGAUGACAUUGCUGCUCUAUACAAUACUGCCACACCAAGUAACCGCAAAAGAGAUCGGAAUCAGCUCAAGACGGAAUGGCAAAGGACCAAGAAAAGGCUCGCCGCUUUCCACGGUGAGUGGAUUGCCGUUAUGGGAGUGUAUCAUAGUGGUCACAAUAGUCAUGACCUGCAAAAAAUGGCGUUGGAGAAGUAUGAACGGAACUAUCACCAGCCUUUCCAACAUUUAACUAUGUGGGAAAAAAUCAAGGAUGAUUCAAAAUGGCUAGCCUCUUAUAAAAACAUGAUGGCAAAAAAGGAAACAUGACAGAGACCGAUCUCCCAUCAAAUAUGAUCAACUUGGAGGCCGAAGAGCGCCCAAAAGCUGGUCGUGAUAAGGCUAAGGCUGAACGUGCUGGUAAAGGAAAGUCGGGAGGGAUCUCACAAGAGCUUGGAGAAAGGCUAGACAAGUUCAUCGAGGUUAACAAUCAAUCGAAGGAGGAGCGCCAAAAGGUGAUAGACAGCCAGGUUCUUUUAUCAAAUCAACAGCUUGAAACCGCAAAGAUCAACAGCAAGACAAAAAUGUUGGAUGUUUACUCCAAAAUGCUUUUAGCGGACACAUCUAAAAUGGAUGAUGCUGAAAAGGCUCGGCGUGCUAAGGCUUUGAGCAGAAUGGAGGCCAUAUUAUUUCCUGAAGAAGCUUCAGGUAUUGUUAAUUCCCAAGCACAUGUACUCAUUUCAAGCAUCUCCAAGCAACUACUAACUAUUUCAUUGUUUGUCUCUCGAUCGGUUAAUUUUUGUUGUGAACCUGAGUAG